UAAGUCUGAUGUGAAAGCCCUCGGCUUAACCGAGGAACUGCAUCGGAAACUGUUUUUCUUGAGUGCAGAAGAGGAGAGUGGAACUCCAUGUGUAGCGGUGGAAUGCGUAGAUAUAUGGAAGAACACCAGUGGCGAAGGCGGCUCUCUGGUCUGCAACUGACGCUGAGGCUCGAAAGCAUGGGUAGCGAACAGGAUUAGAUACCCUGGUAGUCCAUGCCGUAAACGAUGAGUGCUAAGUGUUGGGAGGUUUCCGCCUCUCAGUGCUGCAGCUAACGCAUUAAGCACUCCGCCUGGGGAGUACGACCGCAAGGUUGAAACUCAAAGGAAUUGACGGGGGCCCGCACAAGCGGUGGAGCAUGUGGUUUAAUUCGAAGCAACGCGAAGAACCUUACCAGGUCUUGACAUCUAGUGCCAUCCUAAGAGAUUAGGAGUUCCCUUCGGGGACGCUAAGACAGGUGGUGCAUGGCUGUCGUCAGCUCGUGUCGUGA
rnacentral:rRNA from 1 species